ensembl:lncRNA
CUGCCUCCCCCACUGCAGCUGCGCCCAGCCAGUUUGAGCCAUCUGCCUCCCACUUUGGAACUCCCCCUCCCCUCCAGCCGUGCCCCUGUACCAAGGAAAAUGGUUUGUCACACAGUACAGCUGUUCCGGUGACGUUUAAUGCGAUUUUGAUGCUGUUGGUAAAACUAGCACAAUUUCCUUUUUCAGAGGAAGAACAUCAUAGAAUGGAUUACAUUUCCUUUGUUUCCGAGGAAGAACACUCAUCUCCUUGGGGCUGCUAGUGUAAGACGUGGUACAAAAGUCCCUGGCUUCAACUACAAACACGUCCACCUAAGGUCCCUGCUGCAGCCACGUGCACUCCGGGGCCCCUUGGGUGAGGCCUUCCAGGCGCCCUCCCGUUCCCUUUGUCCCCAUGGAGCUCCUGUUGCUGAACGGAGCGGUGUGGGCACCAGCUGAGACACGGGCUGCCAUACCGGGACUGCGCCCAGCUGGCAGAGAUCAUCGCAGGAACCGCGCUCGGACAGCGCAGGCAUAAUGGGCCUUGGGAAGUGCUCUCGUUGCAGCCCCGGUGCCUCUCUCAAAGCAGACCUCCGGCUUCCUCACGGUUACAGAUGACGCAUGACACGACGCCAGCACUCUGCUCGGGAACGGCAACACUGCUCUUCAUUCUCCCUUCGGAGGCGAAAAGUCGGGCUGCUUCUCAGCGCCCUCGCCGAGAGCUCUGCCGCCGCUGUUCACAGCACCCGGCGCUGGGGAGGCGACGAGAGCGGCGUGCGGAGGGCGACGGGACGAGCGCGGGGGCAGUGCUGCAAAGGGGGUUCGGGCCGAGGGCCGUCGAGAGCCGCUGCCCGCGGAGCUUCCAGGGACGGCCGCCGCUCCUGCUCUUGCUCCCACCCGCUUCUGUCGGCAGCGCCGGCGAAAGCCUCCUGCCGGCUUAAGGGCGGCUCCGGUCUUCUCAGAACCUGAACUGCUCGCGGGGAAAGGCGGCUGCGACGGGAAGAGAAAGGGAACGAUCCCUGGGGCUCCGCCGGGGCCCGCUCGACCUCUCCCCUCAACCCCCCUGGUGCCGCGCGUCCCCCACCCUUGGCCUGCCCUGAAAAAAGCAGGGAGGUGGGCCUAAAAAUAAAACAGAGGCAAAGAGCUAAGGGAGAAAGAACUCAUUUACUCAUAUGAUAGUGGAAUGCGAGAUAACACAAUACAAUACAAUAUAUCUGGAAUUGAAGCUAAUAAAUUGAAUAAAUGAGAGAGAGCAUUCAAAAAGUGAAGGCCUUACUGUAAUGCUGUAGGGGGGAUGGCUAGGGAGCACGCACCACAGAGACAAGCAGAAAAAGAGAGAAAGCAGGCAAAAAAAAGAGGCCACCUCGUGACUCACAGUCAUUGUUAUCUUUCCCACCCACUGGAACAUGGAAAUGGAACAGCAAAGUCUUCUGGGUGCUGUAGUUCAUUUUGUAGUUCUUCUCUUCUGAGACAGGUACCUGGAACUAUCGUAAUUCCAUGGAACUGGAGCAUUAACUGUUUAAAUCCCAGUGCACUAUAUAAUGUUAUGAUGUGGAAUACCGAUAACAAAAAUCAUAAAGCCAUGGCAGCCCACGGGAGAGCAGCAGUGUGUGUACCCACAGGGACAAAGGAGCACAUCUUGGUUGAGGAUGUAGCCCAGGCUCUAUCUCAUAACGUUUCCAAAUCUUUCAUUUCAAGAGCCAUGAC